rnacentral:rRNA from 1 species
UACGUAGGGUGCAAGCGUUAAUCGGAAUUACUGGGCGUAAAGCGUGCGCAGGCGGUUUUGUAAGUCUGUCGUGAAAUCCCCGGGCUCAACCUGGGAAUUGCGAUGGAGACUGCAAGGCUAGAAUCUGGCAGAGGGGGGUAGAAUUCCACGUGUAGCAGUGAAAUGCGUAGAGAUGUGGAGGAACACCGAUGGCGAAGGCAGCCCCCUGGGUCAAGAUUGACGCUCAUG